UUUAAGUACAACCAUGAGUUUUCGCGUCCAACCUUAGUCGUCCGUCUUAUUUGAAAAAAAUUUAUAAUUAGUAUUUUUUAUGAGAUGAUAAGACAUGAAUAGUACUUUAUGCGUGACUUAUGUUUUAAUUUUUUUUAAAAGAAAAUUAAAUAAGACGGACGAUCAAAAUUGGACGCGAAAACUCAUGGCUGCACUCAAA
rfam:Oryza glumipatula chromosome 12, whole genome shotgun sequence.